rnacentral:lncRNA from 1 species
UGAGAAGAAAAAUAACCCAAAUCAAAACUCAAAAUUGAAGAAGUUUGGGAAAAGUGAAGAACUCUUCGUCGGGCAAGGGCACCUAUGCUGGCCGCCGCUCCAAGCUCGUCACCGCCACGAAAUCACCCGCGAUCGCCGCCCUCUCUCAGGUAUUCCUCCGCCGCCACGAUCUUAGCAGCCAUGUUUGCGAUUGAAGAAAUCUUGCAAUUCAGCGUGUUUGCCCUAAUACUAUCUCAGGAAAGAAUGGAGAAUUCUUACAGUGAGGAGUCCCUCAAUUCAGGUCACAAAGAACAUUGCAUUCAUGGAGAAUGUAACCUUAUUAGGUCCUUUAGUGUAGCUAAUCCUGGUAGAAAAUUUUGGAGGUGUCCUCUUGCAAGCUUGGUAGAACAAAUCAUCGCACGUGAGAUUAGGAGCCCAAAACGUCAAAUACAAAACACAUCAGCAAAAUUCGAAGAACUUCGAAGAACAACAGAUAAUGAAGCGAUUGUUGGAGGAAUGAAGUUUUUACGCAAAGUAUAAUGGAUUAAUAUACUCUGGAGUUGAGAAAAUAAAAACAAAAGAAGAAAAAAGAAAAUGUGUGCGUGUGUGUGGGAGAACAAACUCGCAGUGAAACACGAGAGAGAGAGAGAGAGAGAGAGAGAGAGAUACCAGUGGCGAUGCACAGCGACGAGCUUUGACAGACGAUUCAGAGACGAGCUUCAGAUUGAUUGGAUCUGCUGGAAUGAUUUGGGAAUUUUUUCUCUACUUCAAUUGAUUCCCGGCGACGAGCUUCAGAUUGAUUGUUCUUUCUUCUUCAAUUGCAAGCAUCGUGAGAGAGUUC